ensembl:lncRNA
GCAAUAAAGCAAUAAAGCAAUAAAGCAAGAAAGCAAGAAAGUAAGAAAGCAAUAAAGCAAGAAAGUAAGAAAGCAAGAAAGCAAGAAAGAAAUAAAGCAAGGAAAAAUGGAUUAAAUUUGCAAUUUCCUCAAGUUACAUAAAAAGAUUUAAACAAAACUAUAUAAAAUGUUUUUUCCCAUAAGGACUAGUUUAAUUGUAAGGAAUUUUCAUAAUAAUGCAAGCAAAAUAGUUUUGUUAAAAAAUAAAGAUAAAAAUCGAAAUAGAAAAAUUCAAAUAUGGUUAAAAAAAAUUAAUGUGAAGGAAUUGCCUCGUAAGAAGUUUGGAAAUAAAUUAGGGACAGUAGCAAAAGAGUUAUAUUUAAAGUUUUUAUUAAGAUGUAACAAAAAAAAUAAUAUAAAAUAUAAGAACGAAUACGAAGACGAUUAUGAUUACAAGCCUAAUUACAGUAAUAGGAUGUUUUUAUUGGAACAAAAUAAUGAUGAAGUUGUUAAAGAAAGUAAUAAAAAAGGUGAAUAUGAAAAAAAAUAUAAAAAUCUUACAUUUAUUCCUAGAGUUAAUGAUUGUAAAUUAUUAUACAAUAAAAAUGAAAAAAAGUAUGAUCAUAAAAAAGAAGAAUCAGAAAAGUUGUCAUUAAAUAGUGAUAAAAAUGAAAGGGAAUUAAGUACCAUAGAUAAUAGUGAACUAAAUAAAAAUAAUGGGAAUGAAUUAGAUGAUAAGAAUUUAUGGGAUGAUGUAUGUAAUGAGUUAAAAUGUUAUUUACCUUUUUUACAACCAUAUACUAUUACUAUAACAUUAAACUACAUGUCCAAAAUAAAUUAUGAUGAAUAUAAUAUUUAUAAUUUAAUAGCUGAACAUGUUGAUGCAAGGUGGAUAAAAAAUUUUAAUGUAAAAGAUUUAUCUUUAUUAUUAUUGUCUUAUUCUAGAUUACAAACAAAAUAUUAUUCAUUUAUAAAUAUAAUAAGUAGAGAAUUAUUAUAUAAAAUCUGCUAUGGUGAAAUAGGGGAUUUAUCAUUAAUAAUUUAUGCAUAUACCAAAAUGGGUAUUUACGAUUAUGAAGUUUUUCUUCACUUAUGUAAUGAAAUGAAAAAUAGGCUAUAUAAUGGGUUGAAUUUUCAUGCGAUUGUAAAUACUUCUGAGUCAACUACAACUGCCAGUGCAAAUGUCAAUACAAAUCAGACCACAGAUACACCUACUUACACAACUGCUAACACAACUGUUAACACAACUGAGUCUAAUAAUAACCGUGAAAUGGGAGAAAAUAAGAAAAGCUCCUACAUAUGUUUAUUUGUUUAUUGUUUAGGAAAAAUGAACCACUGUGACAAUAACUUGUUUGACAUAAUUUUACAAAAUUUAAAUUUUGAUAAUUUGAAUAUGAUUGAUUUAAGUAAUUUAUCAUAUACCUUUUAUAUUUGCAAUUAUUAUAAUUAUUGUUUUUAUGAAAAUUUAUGUUUAAAAAGUAAUGAAAUUAUUGCCUUAGCUGAAACAUUACAAAAAAUAUCUAUACUUACUUAUCUUUUAAAAUAUCCACAACAUAAAUGUUACCUAUCUAUUUUAUGUAUAUAAAUAAUAUAAAUAAAGAAAUAUACAAAAAACA